rnacentral:rRNA from 1 species
UACGUAGGUGACCAGCGUUGUCCGGAUUUACUGGGCGUAAAGAGUGCGCAGGCGGUCGUUCAAGUCGAGUGUGAAAGCCCCCGGCUCAACUGGGGAGGGUCACUCGAUACUGAUCGACUUGAAGGCAGGAGAGGGAAGCGGAAUUCCCGGUGUAGUGGUGAAAUGCGUAGAUAUCGGGAGGAACACCAGUGGCGAAGGCGGCUUCCUGGCCUGUUCUUGACGCUGAGGCGCGAAAGCUAGGGGAGCAAACGGG